ensembl:lncRNA
GGCGGAGAGAAAGCCGGGUGCGUUUGUUUGCCGAGCGGUUUAACGGCGCGCGGCUCGAGCUGCGGGGACACAAACAAAACGACUGUUAACGCCCUUAAUUAUUCCCGCUCGAAGCAUCUGAAGCCGACGCUGGUUGGCAGCGAGCGCCGUUCGGCAGAUUUAAAGGCUCCAGCGACGUGGUGAUGGAUUUAUUUUUCCUUUUUAUGUUCUCACAAACGAGAAAGGGGGACAGGGGGGUUUCUUCCCCCCCCCGAGCUGUUUAAAUAUUGAGACGCUGGAGGCGUGCAGCGCUGAGCAUCGAGCAUGGGUGGACUUAUGAAAAUGAAACGGCUUUCGCGCCGAGAAUAAAAAACCAGCAUGUUUUGAAGCGGUGGACUAAAAGGGCACUUGAGUGAUGAUCAAUUAAUGACGAAGCGGCAGAUUAGUGCCGCGGAUUCAUCUCACACGUAGUUUAAUACAAAUGUGCUUGAGGAACGUGUCGGGGGAUCUGCGGGGGUCCUACACGUAUCGACACAUGACGGAAAGUGAAGACGUGUGGACCUAAGCGUGGAGUCGACGUGCAACAUCACCAACAUCAGAGUGUCGCAAAAAAAAGUCACAUUCAGUCAGACGUUUAACCUGCUAAAAAAGACAUUUUCAGCUCCAGCGCUGAAGAAGCAGGUCGGAUUUAAUCACCGAUCACCAAAUAGCCCUUUGGUUUAAUUAGGCCAUUUAAAGGUUAACUGCCUUCCACCGCCGAGCUGCCUGCAACUCCGUCAGCUCCACCCGUGUCUCUGGAGAAAAGACCGGAGAACAAUUUUUUGUAAAGAUGAUGCGUUGCCAAAAAUACCGUCGCUCCAUGUGCAGCACAGACAGAGUCCACAUCUCCGCUUGUUGACUCUUUGCUCGAUAAAGGGCACAGCUGAUUAAACCUUCGGCUCGGGCCGCCUGCAGGCCGCCGCCGCCGCCGAUCCUAUCGCCGCGUAUCGGCGGGCCUCCGGAGAUAGCGUGGCCGCUCAUCAGCACGCCACCCGGGACAAAAGGCCAAAGCGGGAGAGGACGGGGUCGCCGGCCGACAGAGACGCCCCUCAGUCU